GCACGAACGACCCGAUCCCCUCUCCCUCACCCGCCAUCUCUUCUGUCCCUCGGCCCGCCCGCCCGCUCAUCCCUCCCCCCUCUCCUCCGCCGCCAUUGUUCCCUCUGGCGCUCUCGCCCGUUGCUACUCCUUGUUGCCGCUGUGCCAGGGGAUAACCAUGGUCGCGCCGCCGGGAGGAACACGUCGUCCUCCUGCCGGAGGAAGCAGCAGGAGAGACAGGAUAUGAGAAGGAGAGAGAAGAAAGGAGAGGGGGGAGAAAGAGAGAUGAAAGAGGAGAGGGAAGUGCGGUGGCUGAUGGGAGAGGGUCACCGACCGGCGUCGUCAGCCUGCGCCGGUGAGGUCGGGCGCGCCCUGCCGGUUGGCGGCGGCUCGAUCCGCUCCUGGAUCGGGAGCUGCGAGGAGGCUGGUGCUUGGGCGCGAGGCACGGGACGCUGCACUCCACCUCAUCCUCUUGGUGCGGACGGCGGCAUCAGCGGGUGGGCGACGGACGGCGGCAUCAGCUGGUGGGCGACGGACGGCAGCCUCAGCAGGUGGCCGACAACACCUGCAGCUGGUGCUAUACCCAUGGAUUCCGGCACAGCUUGAAACACUCAGGUGCUGAUCGGCGUUGGAUUUCGGCUUUAUAAACUUGGCUUUUCAGAGGUAGCCAAGUGCGUGGAAAUUGGUCUUCCAGAACUCAUCCUAAUGGUUGCAUUUUCUCAGGUUUCCCCUUGCCAUCGGCCGCAGCGGUGAGCAUAGGGGCAGCGGUCGCGGUCGCUCGAGGAGCACAACCGCACGGGGGCUGGUCCUGCCACUGCGGAGCAGAGCGGAGGAGGUCGAUGCAGGGUCGAGGAGGGGCACGGGCGAGGGUCAUGCCGCAUGGGGGCUCGUGGUGUCUAGAGAGCAAUGGAAGAAACGGAAGGAUGAUAUUUUGGGUGUGUGCACAUGUAUAGCACUAGCUUUUUCAGAUGAUUGUGAAGCUUAUGGAAGAGGCAUAUCUGAAUGCUUGCUUUGAGCAUUUUUUGCUCUAAACAUGGUAACCCCUGUUCUUACAUACAAGAAGGUGCUCUCGAUUACUUCUUGGCAAAUGAUCAAUGUAAUUGAUUAUUUUCUUAUGACAUAUCUGUUUACAUGGAACUAAAAAGAACAUUGGUUUUCUGAGAAAAUAAGAUUAGGGAAGUCACACAUGUUGUUUAAAUCAAGUAAGGUAGCAUAUAUGUAGCUUUACUUGCUAAUUUUGCAUCAUGGAUGCUGAAGUUCCUAGAGGUAAAGCAGAAACCUGAUACCAUGUACAGCAGUGCAAGUGUCUUGCCUGGUGUUCUUUAAAAAAUUUCUUACAGACGAAUGGCUGGACUGAAAUUUUCAAUAUAACAAGUACUUGUUUUCUAUAGUUGGUAGCAUAUAUAUAGCUUACGGAGGUCUCAUGUAAUAGACAUAUAAGUGAAACUUGGGGAUCAUCUUAUAUCCUCAUGUUCACUUCUUUCCCUUUUAUUUCGUCCCAUUCUGUUAUCUAAGCGUAAGUUCAGUUUCAUUUGCUGAAGUUGGAGCUGUGGUGUACCUUUGGAUGAGUAUACUACUGAGAGGGUUUAGAUCAGAGAACUAAACAAGCUGUGGGUCAGUGGAUAACCAAAUGCCACUGACCAUACAGCUCUUUGCCACUUGGAUACUAGAAGCAAAUCAAAAUGAGCAGGAAGGAAACAACACUGGUUUUUAGUAGAUAUAUGUCUGUGAUUUACUUGCAAUGUUGUUCCUUGCAAAACUUUUCCUGGCAAUCCUGAAAUGAUUUCUCAAAAUAUGGGAAAAUUUAUAUUCUAAAAACUGUACGCACACUGAGUGAAGCAUAUAUAUAAUGCUACUAUAACAUAGGUCAGGUGGAUAUAUAUAAUUUUCUAUAUGCAAAUUGUUAUAGUAUGAUUUUAUUAGAACAGAGGUCAGGUACUGCCACGACGUACAUUGUGAUUUCAGUUUUCAUCAAUGUCGAUGUUAUUACUAUCUCUUUGUAGCUUCAUAUAAAGUUAGUGUUGACAUGGUCAUUUUACAGAAUGAGUGAAAAUGGUAGGUUGGUAGAAUCAUAGCCUGUGAGUGCCUUAAUAAGUUUUUUCAUUAUCUAUAAUAUAUUGUUUAGGGCUAGUUUAGAUGUGUAGUCGAAAAUAUGAGUAAAAACAGUGAAUAUUUUGCAUUGCCUUGGUGUUUAGUGUCUAUUGCAUAAUCCUUUUUUGCUUCUCUUUUCAAAGCAAGGACCAGGCUGGGAGCAUAUGUUUAUAGUAAAGUUCUUUCAUUGCAGACUGCAGACUGCAUAGUAACUUCAUGUUCUUAGUGGUGAUCCAUUAUCAGCAGACCUUGCCUAUGAGCUAACGGUAGUCCAUGUAAAUGCCUUUAAUUCUUACAAUUGAAUACUUGUCAGUGUUACUGCUAGCCUUUUACCUUUGUAAUACAUAGUAAGAAAUUUCUGAAGCUUUGUCUUGCCAUAUGUAUCUAAUUUUUUGCUGGCCGUGUUAGAAAUAAUCAAUGAUUUUGCCACGUGGGAGCUCAUGCUUAUGGGUAAGUUGUCUGGCUAGAAUUUCUCUGUACAUACACUUCUUUCUUUAGAGAACUAGAAUUGUUUGAUACUGGUAGUGUAUGUCGAGCUGACUAAGAUGCAUGCUUUUUUCUCUACUUGGCAUCUGCUUCUCUUAAUUUUUCUAUAAUUCUUCCUUUACAUGUUGGUGCGUUUUGUAGCCAGGUUCAGAUCGGUGAUACCCGUGCAAAUGGAUGAGCUACAUACUCGAUGAAGCUGAUCUUGGGCUCAGCCCUUCAACUCCAUCUUGCAACUGCUGGAAGUUCCCUGGCUAAGCAGCACUCAAAAACAAAGGAUUACUGAAGCGGUGACGGGGUGGGUACACCUGAGGCGAUUGAUGUCAAGAUCUGAGCAUGUGGAGUUUCGUUUGUCGAGUCCUGGCACUAGCAUUGUUGGCUGUUUUUUUAAUUCCCCCCCUAUUUAUGGGAGAACCUUUAGGAGCCGUAGGCGCUAAACAACACUUAAGUUUCGUUCAUGCAACCACCCAGGUUUUGGGCGAUGACACUCUUGCUCUAAGAAAAGGUUCUAUACUCAAUUUUAUUCCAUAUGUUCUGGGAGAUCCUUUGUGUA